rnacentral:misc_RNA from 1 species
GCUUGGAGAAAUGGGUGAUAAAGGGGGAGAAAAUGGAAGCGCUUCGCGCUUCCAUUUUCUCCCCCUUUAUCACUUAAACG